UACGGAGGGUGCAAACGUUGCUCGGAAUCAUUGGGCGUAAAGCGCACGUAGGCGGCUCGUUAAGUCGGAUGUGAAAGCCCCGGGCUCAACCCGGGAAGUGCAUUCGAAACUGGCGAGCUUGAAUAUGGAAGAGGGUCGCGGAAUUCCCGGUGUAGAGGUGAAAUUCGUAGAUAUCGGGAGGAACACCAGUGGCGAAGGCGGCGACCUGGACGGACAUUGACGCUGAGACGCGAAAGCGUGGGGAGCAAACAGG
rnacentral:rRNA from 1 species